rnacentral:tRNA from 1 species
UGUUCUUGUAGUUGAAU